UACGGAGGGUGCAAGCGUUAAUCGGAAUUACUGGGCGUAAAGCGCACGCAGGUGGCUGAGUCAGUCGAUUGUGAAAGCCCUGGGCUUAACCUGGGAAUUGCAGUCGAUACUACUCAGCUAGAGUAUGGGAGAGGGUAGUGGAAUUCCCGGUGUAGCGGUGAAAUGCGUAGAUAUCUGGAGGAACACCGGUGGCGAAGGCGGCAUCCUGGACCGAAACUGACACUGAGGCGCGAAAGCUAGGGGAGCAAACGGG
rnacentral:rRNA from 1 species